GAUGAACGCUGGCGGCGUGCCUAAUACAUGCAAGUCGAGCGAACGGACGAGAAGCUUGCUUUUCUGAUGUUAGCGGCGGACGGGUGAGUAACACGUGGAUAACCUACCUAUCAGACUGGGAUAACUUCGGGACACCGGCGCUAAUACCGGAUAAUAUUUUGAACCGCAUGGUUCAAAAGUGAAAGACGGUCUUGCUGUCACUUAUAGAUGGAUCCGCGCUGCAUUAGCUAGUUGGUAAGGUAACGGCUUACCAAGGCAACGAUGCCUAGCCGACCUGAGAGGGUGAUCGGCGACCUGGGAACUGAGACACCGUCCAGACGCCUACGGGAGGCAGCAGUAGGGAAUCUUCCGCAAUGGGGGAAAGCCUGACGGAGCAACGCCGCGUGAGUGAUGAAGGUCUUCGGAGCGUAAAACUCUGUUAUUAGGGAAGAACAGAUGUGUAAGUAACUGUGCACAGCUUGACGGUACCUAAUCAGAAAGCCACGGCUAACUACGUG
rnacentral:rRNA from 1 species